rnacentral:rRNA from 1 species
AGUGAACGCUGGCGGUAGGCCUAACACAUGCAAGUCGAACGGCAGCACAGUAAGAGCUUGCUCUUACGGGUGGCGAGUGGCGGACGGGUGAGGAAUACAUCGGAAUCUACUUUUUCGUGGGGGAUAACGUAGGGAAACUUACGCUAAUACCGCAUACGACCUACGGGUGAAAGAAGGGGAUCUUCGGAACUUGCGCGAUUGAAUGAGCCGAUGUCGGAUUAGCUAGUUGGCGGGGUAAAGGCCCACCAAGGCGACGAUCCGUAGCUGGUCUGAGAGGAUGAUCAGCCACACUGGAACUGAGACACGGUCCAGACUCCUACGGGAGGCAGCAGUGGGGAAUAUUGGACAAUGGGCGCAAGCCUGAUCCAGCCAUACCGCGUGGGUGAAGAAGGCCUUCGGGUUGUAAAGCCCUUUUGUUGGGAAAGAAAAGCAGCAGGUUAAUACCCCGCUGUUCUGACGGUACCCAAAGAAUAAGCACCGGCUAACUUCGUG